GUUUGUAAAUUCUUAUUGUACAUCCAUCCCAUGAUGAAACUAUACAUCAUCAGUCAGGCUCCGUUUUUUACUUACUUUUGCGGAUUAUGUUUUCAGUCAAUACGUUUAGUUUUCGUUCUAAGCGGUUCCCGGUUUCACAAAUUUUUGGUAUCGAUAUGUUUUGUUCUUUCAUCGAUUCUCGCUAACAAAAAUAGUUUACCUGGUUGAUUUGAAAAUGUACAGCGUGAUAAAAAUGCAAAAAGACGGCAUGAAGCUCGCAAGUUAAGAAGAUCAAGACAUUUUAGUUGCAGUGUCUGACAAACUCUGUCCCUACGCAGAUGUUCUGUAACGUGCGUGUUACAAGCACAGUCUGUGCUGUUACUAAACAUUGUUAUGCGCAAAAAUGUACUUCUUGCCAACGUUCCAAUAAUCAAAUCGGACUGCGUCAGCUGUUUGCAC